rnacentral:lncRNA from 1 species
AUGCCAGCCUUUGAGCAGCUGCUCAACCCAGUCUUGGAAAACGAAAUGAGAGAGCUCCCCAAAUGUAUUUUUGGAACUUCCUGUGAAUGGCUCUCUGACUCCCUGAAUGGCUGCUCUCCACCUUACACUCUUUCAGAGAUAAAGAAAACUCACCAGGGAGCCUGCAGGAUAAGAGAGAAAUGCACCAAAAAACUUCAGGUGGUGCUCUGGCAGCUUCUUGCCGCCUCCACGGACUUGGGCUGAUUGGCAGAGUGAUGUCAGCUGAUACCGAUUCACAUGGAGUUUUGAUAAGACAGACUCACUUGCUGAGGCAAGACUCGUGGUGAGGCAAGACCCAUGGAGGACACGUGAUGUUUGGAGGGAGUAUAAAUAGGACUCAACGAACUGUGAGAGAGGCUUGAUUACAUAGCUAUCUUUGCAAAACUUCUUGGUCUCAUGUCUCCCCUGAUCUUUGUUUGGUUCAUUGAGAGAAGCACAGCCAAGAACUUAUCCUGAUGUUCUUGGUGAUCCUGGUUGCUCCUGCUGACUUGUGCCAAUUUGGCUGAGGCCUGACUGUCGCUGCUGGGUCAUGCCACUACAGCUGAUUCAUGUUUGCUAUACUGACACUACUGAACUGGACUGCUGGUCUAUUCAUGAAGUGUUUGCAAGUGGAUCGAGCUGCCACUGCUGAAUCCUGUAAACUGAGCUGCUGCUUUCCUGACAAUGCGGAUGAGAUUUGCUCCAAAGAACAAUUUCCAAACAAGUCCACUUCCCCAUAUGUUAUUAAUCUUUCCUUCCCACUGCCUCUGAUGGGUGGUGGGCUAGAAGGAAGGUUAAAGCAUUUAAGAACCCAUAUUAAAAGUAGGCUUUGAAAAAAACUAAGACGACAAUAUAAUAAUGGGCGAAGCAAUGCAAAAUUAAAGCCAAGUUACAGAAGGUCUGAAAAAGUAAUAUAAAGUUUAUGAGGAGCGGGACUUAGUGAUAUAUUUACUGAUAAGAGUUUAUUAAUGUUCCCGAGGCUAUAACAACCUAGUCAUGAUAGCAAAGAUUUAAAGUGUUUGUCUAAUCACUUAUAUCUUUGCUCGUUUUGUUAAGCCUUGCUAUCUGGGAAAACUGGGUCCCAGCAAUAGAGAUAGUAAUGAUUCAUUGCACACAGUUUCAUCCUAUGCGUGUCCACUUAAGAAAUCAGUGAGGUCUGCUCUCCUGAAUUAUGAAGAAAAUGAACUAGCUUGAGAAGAAAAUAAUGUCAGAUGCUAACAUUCCAGGAAAUCUCACUUUAGAAAGGAGGAUUCCGAAAUAAAAGAAAAUGCUCAUUUGGGGAGAAAUAAAUGCUAAGAAGGAAUAAAGUCACCUUUCAGUUUG